GAUUCACGUAGGAGUGCCCGGAGCUCCUCCACAAAGUACGUAUUGUGCUGCCACCUUCAUACCACUAUUCCGACCCACACCAGGGAGCACCACCAGACGAAAUUAUCGAACUGCCUCACGAAACUUCGGCACAGAUCCUUUCGUUCGACGGCGACAGCGCACUUGCGGUGUACUUACUGUGUCGUACGUGCAGGAAUUUUUGCUUUGGACUGAUCGAGUGGCAUAUCACGCUUCAGCACCGCGAUGAAACGAUGGCUGCUGUCGAGAGGACACACGAAGACUCGUCCGAGAUGCACCAGCGUCUCUGAAGGACCGCCAUUUUGCGUCGACGGUGCCUCGUGACACACAGUGGAGAUGCACUUUUUGGUGACUGAUCGUGCGCGGUCACGAAAGUACUGGGUAUAUUUAUUGCCGAAACUGUCCUUGCGUGACCAGUAUUGUUGUAAUCGUUAUAGACGGUAUCAAGGUCGAGUUCAAGGCGAAAGCGUCUGGGUUUGUCUACGCGAAAUAGUCAGCCUGCAGUGAGUGCUGCGGAGUAUUUAUGUAAGCGGGUGCACGCUCCAAGCCAAGUGGGAAGCGGAUGAUUACGAGGAGAUAUAAGUGGAAAACGAGUGAGCCGUGUACGUCAGUAGCGGGAGCAAGUAAACGGAUUUUUAUGGAACGACCUGUGCGAGCAGGGGAACGCAGGUAUCGAUCGCAGUUUGUGAAGUGUGAAAGGGAGAACAACUUUAUGGCUCCACAAAGCUGUCGACAUCGUCGUUGAGUGCAGGCUGCACACCUGGGAGGUUGUCAUCAAAUCGGAAUCUUCGCCGUUGUCGUCAGAUUGAAGGAUUUCGUUGAACCAUUCAGGGAGCCAAUAAAAAAAAAAGAAGACAUUCCAAGAAAAAGUUGUGUAGAGGAGAAAGGUGUCGCUGUAUACAU